UACGGAGGGGGCUAGCGUUGUCCGAAGUUACUGGGCGUAAAGCGCGCGUAGGCGGGUUGGUAAGUCCGCUGUGAAAGCCCGGAGCUCAACUCCGGAGGGUCGGUGGAUACUGCCAGUCUUGAAGGUGCUAGGGGGAGAUGGAAUUACCGGUGUAGCGGUGAAAUGCGUAGAUAUCGGGAGGAACACCAAUGGCGAAGGCAGCUCGCUGGGACGUGACUGACGCUGAGACGCGAAAGCGUGGGGGAGCAAACAGG
rnacentral:rRNA from 1 species